rnacentral:lncRNA from 1 species
CUCUCUAUUGGUAGGAUCGAGUGAAUUUUUGCCUCUUUCUGCUGUUAGUUAAUGACCUCCAUGGAUCCGGGGAAGCCACAGGUUUCAGAAGAGGUGAAGAUAAAAAUAGGUGAAACUGACUGGGGGAAUCCCAGACUUGAUUGCUCCCCACCCUCCUCAGGUAUCUAGGACUCUUAUCAAAACAGGUCCUUCAGAGCCUGCUGUUGAGAGCCUAGCACUGAAUAUGUAGACACAGCUGCCAGUUAAGGUUGUCCGAGAUUGUGAUUGUGAAACAAAAACCUGCCUUGCUGGAGAAUUUCUGACCCUCUGAAGGCCCAGGGAGAUAAUUGUGAGGCCUAUAAUACAAUGCUGCAUGGUUACCAGCUUCAAAAACAAAGGGCAAAACCAGCUAUUUAUCAGCGCUACUGUCACAGCUCACCAAGGAAUCGCCAUUGCACACAUACAAGCAUUUCCAGGUUCUGUCUCUGAUGGGGACUGUUGAAGAGCCAAGACUCAGAGCACUGGAUACAGAAACAGAAACCUGGAAAGCAGACAUAAAAAUGAGUCACAACUCUUCAAAGUGUGUCCAGAAAGCAAGGGCUCUAAGUCAUUUUCCUAUGAGGUGGGAGACACACCACUUUUCCUUUCUUCAUCUGCUGACACCAACAUGUAGGAGCAUGCUCUACACUCAAGCAUUGGCAGCCAUGAUGCAGGUCGUCUGCACGCCACAUUUCAGGCUUCAGGUGAGCCGUCUCCUGUACACAUUCUCACCCCAUUAUUUGUGAUAGUUAUUGCUCCACCCUUGCAACAGUUUUUAGGGGCAACACCCUAAUACUUCUCCCCAAGUCACUCUGUCCUGGCCUUCCCAAGCCACAGAUUUAGCCAUUUGCAUAUUCUUAGAGAUUCGUCAUCAGAUUCGUAUGUACACUCUGAAUAUUUAAAUAGUAAGGAAUGAAUUUCUGCCCUAAUGAGUCUCAUUACUGCUUUGUGAUGUUAGAGUAAUGGCAUGGUCUCAAUGAUCAAUAUUCUACCAUAUAAGACUGUGUUAACAGCAAAUAUAAUGAGCAAUACCUUAUCUAAUCUUGCGGGAAUGAAAGAAUCGCUGUUAUGCUUAGGCUAGAGAUAAUGAGUGGUAGGCUAGGCACACUUGCCAUUUACUUGUUCAUUUAGUCAAACUUGCACUUUAAAAUAAUGUUUAUAGUUUUUGAGAAUUUCAUACAAUGAAAUAUAUUUACCUCCUCCUCUCCUAACUCCUCUCAGAUCCACCCUCAGUACCUCCACCUCCUACCCACAGAAUUUUGAGUUUUCUUCCAUCUCUUUCCCCCUUCCUCCUCCUCCU